rnacentral:misc_RNA from 1 species
GAGCGCCAUUACACCCCCCAAGCUUUGCUUGAUGUUGGGCUAUGAUAUACUAUCAGGCUCUAAACCUGUAGGCGCCCCCCGCUGGCCGCGAGCGUAGCAUAGUUAUCUAUCGCUUCGCGUGCCCAGCGGGUCGGCCGCCUGUGAACCCUAUUUCUACACGGUUUGGCCUCGGAUCAGGCGGGGAUACCCGCUGAACUUAA